GUUGUAUAGUCAAGUAAUUAAGUGCAUGUGGUGGAUGCCUUGGCAGUCAGAGGCGAUGAAAGACGUGAUAGCCUGCGAAAAGCUCCGGGGAGGCGGCAAAUAUCCUUUGAUCCGGAGAUGUCUGAAUGGGGGAACCCACCUACUUUAAGGUAGGUAUUGCAACAUGAAUACAUAGUGUUGCAAGGCGAACGAGGGGAAGUGAAACAUCUCAGUACCCUUAGGAAAAGAAAUCAAUUGAGAUUCCCUCAGUAGCGGCGAGCGAACGGGGAUCAGCCCAUUAAGUUAUGUGUGUUUUAGUGGAACGCUCUGGGAAGUGCGAACGUAGAGGGUGAUAUUCCCGUACACGAAAGGGCACACAUAAUGAUGACGAGUAGGGCGAGGCACGUGAAACCUUGUCUGAAUAUGGGGGGACCAUCCUCCAAGGCUAAAUACUCCUGACUGACCGAUAGUGAACCAGUACCGUGAGGGAAAGGCGAAAAGAACCCCUGUGAGGGGAGUGAAAUAGAUCCUGAAACCGCAUGCAUACAAGCAGUGGGAGCACCUUCGUGGUGUGACUGCGUACCUUUUGUAUAAUGGGUCAGCGACUUAUAUUCAGUAGCAAGGUUAACCGUAUAGGGGAGCCGUAGAGAAAUCGAGUCUUAAUAGGGCGUUUAGUUGCUGGGUAUAGACCCGAAACCAGGCGAUCUAUCCAUGAGCAGGUUGAAGGUUGGGUAACACUAACUGGAGGACCGAA
rnacentral:rRNA from 1 species